rnacentral:rRNA from 1 species
GUGGGGAAUAUUGGACAAUGGGCGAAAGCCUGAUCCAGCCAUGCCGCGUGUGUGAAGAAGGUCUUCGGAUUGUAAAGCACUUUAAGUUGGGAGGAAGGGCAGUAAGUUAAUACCUUGCUGUUUUGACGUUACCGACAGAAUAAGCACCGGCUAACUUCGUGCCAGCAGCCGCGGUACUACGAAGGGUGCAAGCGUUAAUCGGAAUUACUGGGCGUAAAGCGCGCUGAGGUGGUUUUGUAAGUUGGAGGUGAAAUCCCCGGGCUCAACCUGGGAACUGCCUCCAAAACUGCAUGACUAGAGUACGGUAGAGGGUAGUGGAAUUUCCUGUGUAGCGGUGAAAUGCGUAGAUAUAGGAAGGAACACCAGUGGCGAAGGCGACUACCUGGACUGAUACUGACACUGAGGUGCGAAAGCGUGGGGAGCAAACAGGAUUAGAAACCCUUGUAGUCC